GAUGAAGAACGUAGCGAAAUGCGAUAAGUAAUGUGAAUUGCAGAAUUCAGUGAAUCAUCGAAUCUUUGAACGCACAUUGCGCUCCCUGGUAUUCCGGGGAGCAUGCCUGUUCGAGCGUCAUUACAACCAUCAAGCUCUGCUUGGUGUUGGGCCCCGCCGCCCCGGCGGGCCCUAAAGUCAGUGGCGGCACCGCGUCCGGUCCUCGAGCGUAUGGGGCUUCGUCACCCGCUCUUGUAGGCCCGGCCGGCGCUUGCCGACACAUCAAUCUUUUUUCCAGGUUGACCUCGGAUCAGGUAGGGAUACCCGCUGAACUUAAGCAUAUCAAUAAGCGGAGGA
rnacentral:misc_RNA from 1 species